ACACAGAGUGGGUGUGUCGCUAGUAGAUCAUGAUGGUUUUAAAGCAGCUCUCCUUUGUCACUUCAUAAGUUGGUCUUUUGGCUCUUAAAUGCAACAGAGCAUCCUCCUGUAUCAUACCCAAUACUUGACAGUGAAUACGCCAUCAUGAGGUCACUGGUUCUUGCUGUGCUCUUGUGCGCUUUACCUUCAAUGCUCGAAGCUGCAUGUCUUUUCGCUGGGUUUCCAGGUGAAACUAAGUGUCAUGAUGCAGCAGACCAGACCUGGCAUGCCGUGGGGUCUACCUGGAGAACCAGUGACUGUCUAAGAUGUACUUGUCGCUUGGACGCUGGUUUAAAAGUAGAAAUGAGAUGCUGCCAUGCGUAUCUAAAUAAUAUACGUAUCCCGGAUGACUCUGUCUCUAAGUUUGAUAAAAAAACAUGUCAACAUAUUGUCCAUAAAAAGGAUGAUCCGUCCACAAGCUGUCCUAUCCUUGCCGCUUCGGGAAAAUGAAGAAAUUGUUCCUUAUCGUGUGAAAUUCUGAUUCAUUGUGUCACUGUCACUAUUGUGUCGGACACUAGUGUUUUCUAGGGCUAUGUGAAUUGGAUCUGAUAAAUAAAAGACAUUUGAAUAUUAAA